CUUCUAAACAACCAGAUCUUGCAUGAACUAACCGAGCGAGAACUCACUUAUCACCAAGAGGAUGGUGCUGAGCCAUUCAUGAGGGAACUGCUGGCGUGAUCCAUUCACUUCCCAUCAGGCCUCACUUCCAACAUUGGGAAUCACAUUUCAGCAUGAGAUUUGGAGGGGAGAAACAUCCACACCAUACCACAAAUAAAAAGUCCCAGAGUUGUCUACUUUCAGACUUUUUAAAAAAGUAGACUGGGGUCAACUGGACUACUUAGUUGUAGACAUGCCACCAGGAACUGGAGAUGUGCAGUUAUCAGUUUCACAGAAUAUUCCUAUAACAGGUGCUGUGAUUGUCUCCACGCCCCAGGACAUCGCAUUGAUGGAUGCACACAAGGGUGCUGAGAUGUUUCGCAGAGUCCACGUGCCCGUCCUUGGCCUUGUCCAAAACAUGAGUGUUUUCCAGUGUCCAAAAUGUAAACACAAAACUCAUAUUUUUGGUGCUGAUGGUGCAAGGAAACUAGCACAGACCCUUGGUCUUGAAGUUCUAGGAGACAUUCCCUUACACCUUAAUAUAAGGGAAGCUUCAGAUACAGGCCAGCCAAUUGUGUUUUCACAGCCUGAAAGUGAUGAGGCCAAAGCUUACUUGAGGAUUGCUGUGGAAGUGGUAAGAAGAUUGCCAUCACCUUCAGAAUGAUUCCCCAAGUGUCCUGGAAAUUUGCCUGGUACUGACAUUAAGAGGACCUUUGGAAAUCAGCAAUGUGGUGAUGGAACCUACAGAAAUAAUAGAAAUCAUAACUGUUUUAUUUCUAAGGAAAGAAUGUCUUCAUAUCUGACUUGCUAAGCUAAGGUUCACAAAACUUUGAUGUAUCAAUGUUAACUGCUAUAUUUAGGAAUUUUUUGAAAGCUGGUGUGUACCACCUGCAAAGAACUGCAUUUUAUUUUAUUGAAUUACCCCUUUAGAAAUCAUGAGUUUAUGAUGUUACAAGUCCAUUUUGGGAGAGAACUGUACACUUUUUGCAGGACCACAGAAUUAGUAAUUUAAAUGAUAUACUAAAUUUGUGUAUGGGCAUAAGUAUUACGCCUUCCCACCAGGCAAUUUGGACUGUCUUUGAAUCCUGUCUUUGGUACUGUCUUGGAUAUGUUCUUAAUAUGAACCUCUGCUUCUUCAUCUGGAUCACACCGUACCCCAGACUUAAUGAAUUUCAGUCUCCAGGAGUGGAGCCUGAACAUAUGUAUUUUUAGUAAGACCAUGAUGAUGUUGAUGAUGAUUCUGGUAAUCAUGGCAGUAAGAAUAAUAGCUAACAUUUAACAAGUUAAUUAUAAUUGUUCUUCCAUUUGUGUGAGUGGGUACUAUUGUCUCCAUUUUACAGAUAAGUAAUUUGAGAUAUAAUUUGAAGGCACUCAACCUUGAGUGUCUUGCUGAGAGUUACUGUAUCUAGCAAGUGAUGGAGCUUGGAUUUGAACUUGAGUAAUUCGAUAUUAGAUUCAUCUUUUUGUACACCAAUGUGCUUUUGUUAAUUAAAAAAAGUGGGUGGUGGCUAGGCGUGGUGGCUCACACCUGUAAUCCCAGCACUUUGGGAGGUUGAGGCGGGUGGAUCAUGAGGUCAGGAGUUCAAGACCAGCCUGACCAACAUGGUGAAACCCCGUCUCUACUAAAAAUACAAAAAUUAGCUGGGCGUGGUGGCAUACGCCUGUAAUCCCAGCUACUCGGGAGGCUGAGGCAGGAGAAUCAUUUCAACCCGGGAGGCUGAGGUUGCAGUGAGUGGAGAUUGUACCACUGCACUCCAGCCCGGUCAAUGGAGUGCGACUCCAUCUC
rnacentral:sRNA from 1 species